ensembl:lncRNA
ACCCUCUAAGCAAGCUUCGUGGUACAGGCCCCAGCUGAUGGUUCUGUGUAUACAUUGGGCAUUUGAUUCUCGUUUCAGAAGUGUGCCGUGGGCACUACCGGAAGGGGCGGGCCUUCGCCCAAGUUUUCCCGCUUCUCAGUUUGGGGCGGAAUCAACUGAACAAUAGAAUCUCGGAUCUCCAUUUUUGUGCCAUUCAAGUGAAUGUGGAGGACUUUGCGGAUAUCAGGAGCUACUUUUCCACAACAAAAUGGAACCGCCUCUGAAUGGCAGAGAAAAAAAGAUUCCUGCAGAUCAUGGAAAACCAUUUGGUUAUGUCAUCUCUUGCCUUCAUGAGGAGAGAGAAGCCCGGCCAGGUGAGAGUCUGCUCACCUGAGACAGACUCUGAGGAGGAGCAGCUCUGGACCUCUUGAUUGACCAGUACAAAGACAUUUCUGGAAGGAGUAAUGUGCAGUGAACAUUAUCCCUUUCAAAGCCAUGAAGAAACAUUAGCCCGCUUAUACUGCUUAAUCAUUUAACCAAAGAUAUAGCAACAAAAAGAGGUUUUAUUGAUUUAAAGGGAUUUUAUUGCAUCUGAAAAAAAGGAAAACCUGUACUAAACAUAUUUAAUAAUAGGUUGUACCUCAUAGUAAAUUAGCAGGUUAUAUUACCCAUUUUAGUCAGUUAGUUGAAGUGAGUCGUUUAUGUUGCAGGCUUACAGAAACGCAGGCAGAGGCUGCAAUUGCGUUGGAGUAACACUCCGUUUAUUUUAAAGCAAAACCGAAGAGAUAUGUUCCGACAAUAGUGUUCUCUCUCAGGCUGUAAGCUUCUACGUCAAUCAAAAAACUUCUUCUUCUACACCGAAAAUAAUAAACACAUCAACAACGGAGCUUUCCUCUUCUGCUCCAAACCUCCUUAGUGGCGGAACUUAGUCAUAACAUCUUCGAAUAUUAAUUGGCAUGAAACAGGAAAAAUCAUUUAUACAAUUAUAGAACAUAUAUUAAAUAACUUGGAUUGCCCACAAAAACUAAAUGAAUACCGUGUUGACCAUGUAAACCUAUACCUCUACACUCUCCCCCACUUGAAAAAAUGUCGUCCCGACAUCUUAGUAUACCUUCUUGCCUUUCACACAAAUACAGCGACAUGCAAAAAAUUGAAUGGGAACAUCAAGGUUAUAACCUUGUUUAUGAGAUACCCAGACUA